rnacentral:rRNA from 1 species
AGAGUUUGAUCAUGGCUCAGGAUGAACGCUAGCUACAGGCUUAACACAUGCAAGUCGAGGGGAAACGACAUCGAAAGCUUGCUUUUGAUGGGGCGUCGACCGGCGCACGGGUGAGUAACGCGUAUCCAACCUGCCCACCACUUGGGGAUAACCUUUGCGAAAGUAAGACUAAUACCCAAUGAUAUCUCUAGAAGACAUCUGAAAGAGAUUAAAGAUUUAUACGGUGAUGGAUGGGGAUGCGUCUGAUUAGCUUGUUGGCGGGGUAACGGCCCACCAAGGCAACGAUCAGUAGGGGUUCUGAGAGGAAGGUCCCCCACAUUGGAACUGAGACACGGUCCCAAACUCCUACGGGAGGCAGCA